CUCAUGGACAACUCUCACAGAACAUAAAAACAGCCGUGGAUCCUCCAGCAUGUGUUCAGACGACACUCCGAUGGAUUUGAUCUAAAAUGGAUCAUAAGGUUUUGUGGAGUCCGCGCGGUCAUUAAAGCAAAAAGGG